AGAGUUUGAUCCUGGCUCAGGAUGAAUUCUAGCUACAGGCUUAACACAUGCAAGUCGAGGGGCAGCAUGAUCUUAGCUUGCUAAGAUUGAUGGCGACCGGCGCACGGGUGAGUAACACGUAUCCAACCUGCCGUCUACUUGGGGAUAGCCUUCUGAAAGGAAGAUUAAUACCCGAUGCGAUCUGUCGGCCGCAUGGCUGAUGGAUGAAAGAUUGAUUGGUAGACGAUGGGGAUGCGUUCCAUUAGGUUGUUGGCGGGGUAACGGCCCACCAAGCCGACGAUGGAUAGGGGUUCUGAGAGGAAGGUCCCCCACAUUGGAACUGAGACACGGUCCAGACUCCUACGGGAGGCAGCAGUGAGGAAUAUUGGUCAAUGGAUGAGAAUCUGAACCAGCCAAGUAGCGUGCAGGAUGACGGCCCUAUGGGUUGUAAACUGCUUUUAUACGGGAAUAAAUGACGACACGUGUGUUGUUUUGUAGGUACCGUUUGAAUAAGGACCGGCUAAUUCCGUGCCAGCAGCCGCGGUAAUACGGAAGGUCCGGGCGUUAUCCGGAUUUAUUGGGUUUAAAGGGAGCGUAGGCCGGCGCUUAAGCGUGCCGUGAAAUGUCCCGGCUCAACCGGGGCACUGCGGCGCGAACUGGGUGCCUUGAGUGCGCGGAACGUAUGCGGAAUUCGUGGUGUAGCGGUGAAAUGCUUAGAUAUCACGAAGAACUCCGAUUGCGAAGGCAGCAUACGGCAGCGUAACUGACGCUGAAGCUCGAAGGUGCGGGUAUCGAACAGGAUUAGAUACCCUGGUAGUCCGCACGGUAAACGAUGGAUGCCCGCUGUUGGCGAUAUACAGUCAGCGGCCAAGCGAAAGCGUUAAGCAUCCCACCUGGGGAGUACGCCGGCAACGGUGAAACUCAAAGGAAUUGACGGGGGCCCGCACAAGCGGAGGAACAUGUGGUCUAAUUCGAUGAUACGCGAGGAACCUUACCCGGGCUUGAACUGCAGGUGAACGAUUCAGUGAUGAUGAGGUCCUUCGGGACACCUGUGGAGGUGCUGCAUGGUUGUCGUCAGCUCGUGCCGUGAGGUGUCGGCUUAAGUGCCAUAACGAGCGCAACCCCUGUUCUCAGUUGCCAUCGGGUCAUGCCGGGCACUCUGUGAAGACUGCCUCCGUAAGGAGUGAGGAGGGUGGGGAUGACGUCAAAUCAGCACGGCCCUUACGUCCGGGGCUACACACGUGUUACAAUGGGUGAUACAGAGAGUCGGCGGCCGGCAACGUCCGUCUGAUCUAUAAAGUCAUCCUCAGUUCGGACUGGGGUCUGCAACCCGACCCCACGAAGCUGGAUUCGCUAGUAAUCGCGCAUCAGCCAUGGCGCGGUGAAUACGUUCCCGGGCCUUGCACUCACCGCCCGUCA
rnacentral:rRNA from 1 species